UACGUAGGGUGCAAGCGUUAUCCGGAAUUAUUGGGCGUAAAGAGCUCGUAGGCGGUCUGUCGCGUCUGCUGUGAAAUCUGGGGGCUCAACCCCCAGCCUGCAGUGGGUACGGGCAAACUAGAGUAUUGCAGGGGAGACUGGAAUUCCUGGUGUAGCGGUGAAAUGCGCAGAUAUCAGGAGGAACACCGGUGGCGAAGGCGGGUCUCUGGGCCGAUACUGACGCUGAGGAGCGAAAGCGUGGGGAGCGAACAGG
rnacentral:rRNA from 1 species